rnacentral:lncRNA from 1 species
AAAAAAAAAAAAAAAAAAAAAAAAAAAAUAUUUUAUCUAUGUGGAUGUUUACCUGCAUCUAUGUAUGUCCACCAUGUGCAUGCCUGAUGCCCUCAGAGGCCUGGAAGAUGUUUGUGAACUACCAUGUGGGUGCUGGGCUCAGAACCUGUGUCCCCUGCAAGUGCUUUUAACCGUGGAGCCAUCUCUCCAGCCAGGGUUUUGUUUUUGUCUUGUAUUGGUUUUGUUUUAUUUUGAGACAGGGUCUCACUCUAACCCAGGCUGGCCUAGAACUGGGAUUAAAUGUAGGCCAUUAUGGCUGGAAAGUAUUAAUAUUUAAGAAAUCUGGAGCUUGCAAGACUGCUCCUAGUGACCUGAGCUUGAGCCCUGGCGCCCACAUGGUAGAAAGAGUAGUCCUCUGACUCGCACAUGUGCACUGAGCUGUGGCGUCCCGCACAUAUGCAUCACAUAUACACAAAUAACAAAUGAAACUGUAAAAAUCUGUAUAAAUAGUAGGAAAUAUGUUCUGUGGAGCUGGGGGGUUAGCAUAGUGACACAAUGCUUGACUGUGGUCCCCAUCACUGAAAACCAAGGCCAUACGUUUUAUAAAGCAGUAGCUGCCAUAAAUAUUGAUUCUUCUGAUGGAUCUGUGCAAAGCAAAUUGAAAACCGUCAAGAGAAGCUAGCUACUGUGGGUGCCGUUAAGAGCAUUUGUGAUUUAUAAGAGGAGGUCAGAAUACCAACUUGACCAGACAUUUUGAAGUCAAUGGGUGACAUGGUCGCUUCAGAGAUAAAAUAAUUACAGGUAUUCUAGAGACAGCCUGAGAAGUGAAGUUUGAAGGUACAGCUUAAUUGAUUUCAUCAUAAAACCUCAACACAUGAGGAACUGAUUUCUGUGAAUGGGGAAAACCCAGUUUCUUGAGGCAGAAUCUACUUCUGGUGGGGAUUCUGUGAACAUAGUUGGAUGAGAAAGAAUCUGGAAUAUAAAUGUAAGUGAAAAGUGGAGUGGAGAAAGAGGGCUCCAAAUAUGAAAGCAUUUCUACAGUGGGUAAAAUGUCAUUGAAAAAGCACCCCAUGCUAAGAGAACUCUCCCAUUGAUGAAGAGCCACUGACUUUAGGAAAUUUCCACAGACACCCGAAUGUUCAGCAACUACACCAUGUUGUUUUUUGGGGUUUUUUUCUUUAAGAUUUAUUUAUUAUUAUAUCUAAGUACACUGUAGCUGUCCUCAGAUGCACCAGAAGAGGGUGUCAGAUCUUAUUACGGAUGGUUGUGAGCCACCAUGUGGUUGCUGGGAUUUGAACUCAGGACCUUCGGGAGAGCAGUUAGUGCUCUUAACUUCUGAGCCAUCUCUCCAGCCCCACCCUGUUGUUUUUAAGACAAAAUCCCAAAUGCUCAAUUUACCAAAUGAAGACUCAAGAGCCAGACACUGUGGUGAGAGCCUGCUAGCUCAGAGAGGCAGAGAAAGCACCCAGCUGAACUUCCUACUUCACAGACAUCCCAGAAGGAAAAAUCUCCCUCCUUCUCUCCACACUGUCUUAAACACCCUUCAACCCAAAGGCCUCCUUCCUCUUUCCUGGGCCUUCUAUGUUCGCUCUCUGUCAACUGGUUACUUGCUCUGCCUCUUGACCCUUGGUUGACUUUAUUUAAUCCUGUUUACAGAAAGCUCUUGGAUUAAAGAUAUGUGCUUGGGUUGAGCCACACUACAACAAGAAAUGGGUUUUUCCAGUUCACAAUCUCGGAGUUCACGAUGUGAUCAAAUAUCCUGCAACAACACCCUGAUGAAUCAGCAUUAUUAACCUCGAGGCAAGACCCUCACCAGCAAAGAUAUUACCGUUCUCCAUGAUGGCUUGCUUUGUUGUUAGUACUUCUUAGCAAUAAGGCAUAUCUAAUUGAUCUACGUACACUGUCUUUUUAUGAUGCCGUUGAAUACUGACUAUACUACAGAACAAUGUAAAUGUAACUUUUACACACACUUAGAAACCAGAAAGCUGUGACUCACUAGUUCAGUGCUUGCUUUACUGUGGUCUAGAACCAAAACCACAGUAUCCCUACUGUGUGCCUGUACCAUCAUUUCUUUCAUUGUUCCACUACUUGGACAUUUGAGGGCUUCUAUCUUUCACUACCCACAUUUCCAUGAAUAUCUUUAUGCAAAAAUCUUUUUGCCAGUAGCUUAAAAUUAUUACCUUAGGAUAGAAAGCUAUAUUUGAAAUGACGGAUUCAGAGGUUUUGAAAUCUCUUAAGCUGGCCAAAUUGCUUUCCACGAAGGUCAAGCAAGAUUUUAUUCAGUAAGCGUUCAGGAGUGCCCAUCACACAUGCCCAACAGUCUCUAUCUUUUUUUUUUUUUUUUAACAAAGUCUUUCCAGUGUGACAGAUGAAAUGGGCUCUCGUUUUAAUUUGCAUUGGAUUAAUAGUGAGGUUGAAAAUGUUUGCAAUUGUAGAAACCCUUUAUAGUUUUCCUAGGAAUGAAAUUCCACUGCCUAUGUUUGGACAUGUGGAUGGCAAAGAGAACUAAGAGACUGUUAUAAAAGGACAAUUUAGAAAUAAAAAAUAUGGCCACACC